ACUCCUACGGGAGGCAGCAGUGAGGAAUAUUGGACAAUGGGUGGAAGCCUGAUCCAGCCAUCCCGCGUGCAGGAAGACGGCCCUAUGGGUUGUAAACUGCUUUUAUCUGGGGAUAAACCUACUUACGUGUAAGUAGCUGAAGGUACCAGAAGAAUAAGCACCGGCUAACUCCGUGCCAGCAGCCGCGGUAAUACGGAGGGUGCAAGCGUUAUCCGGAUUUAUUGGGUUUAAAGGGUCCGUAGGCGGACUGAUAAGUCAGUGGUGAAAUCCGACAGCUUAACUGUCGAACUGCCAUCGAUACUGUUAGUCUUGAGUAAGGUUGAAGUGGCCGGAAUAAGUAGUGUAGGGGUGAAAUGCAUAGAUAUUACUUAGAACACCAAUUGCGAAGGCAGGUCACUAAGUCUUAACUGACGCUGAUGGACGAAAGCGUGGGGAGCGAACAGGAUUAGAAACCCGUGUAGUCCCA
rnacentral:rRNA from 1 species